UACGGAGGGUGCAAGCGUUAUCCGGAUUCACUGGGUUUAAAGGGUGCGUAGGUGGGUUGGUAAGUCAGUGGUGAAAUCUCCAGGCUUAACUUGGAAACUGCCAUUGAUACUAUCAGUCUUGAAUACCGUGGAGGUCAGCGGAAUAUGUCAUGUAGCGGUGAAAUGCUUAGAUAUGACAUAGAACACCAAUUGCGAAGGCAGCUCACUACGGAUGUAUUGACACUGAGGCACGAAAGCGUGGGGAUCAAACAGG
rnacentral:rRNA from 1 species